rnacentral:rRNA from 1 species
CCUACGGGAGGCAGCAGUGGGGAAUAUUGGACAAUGGGGGGAACCCUGAUCCAGCCAUGCCGCGUGUGUGAAGAAGGCCUUAUGGUUGUAAAGCACUUUAAGCGAGGAGGAGGCUACUUUAGUUAAUACCUAGAGAUAGUGGACGUUACUCGCAGAAUAAGCACCGGCUAACUCUGUGCCAGCAGCCGCGGU